GACGAACCGUACGAACGUUAUUCGGAAUCACUGGGCUUAAAGGGUGCGUAGGCGGCGCGACAAGUUGGGUGUGAAAUCCCUCGGCUCAACCGAGGAACUGCGCCCAAAACUGUCGUGCUCGAGGGAGACAGAGGUGAGCGGAACUUAGGGUGGAGCGGUGAAAUGCGUUGAUAUCCUAAGGAACACCGGUGGCGAAAGCGGCUCACUGGGUCUCUUCUGACGCUGAGGCACGAAAGCGCGGGGAGCGAACAGG
rnacentral:rRNA from 1 species